rnacentral:rRNA from 1 species
UGGGGAAUAUUGGACAAUGGGCGAAAGCCUGAUCCAGCCAUGCCGCGUGUGUGAAGAAGGUCUUCGGAUUGUAAAGCACUUUAAGUUGGGAGGAAGGGCAGUAAGCGAAUACCUUGCUGUUUUGACGUUACCGACAGAAUAAGCACCGGCUAACUCUGUGCCAGCAGCCGCGGUAAUACAGAGGGUGCAAGCGUUAAUCGGAAUUACUGGGCGUAAAGCGUGCGUAGGCGGCUAAUUGAGUCGGAUGUGAAAUCCCCGAGCUUAACUUGGGAAUUGCAUUCGAUACUGGUUAGCUAGAGUGUGGGAGAGGAUGGUAGAAUUCCAGGUGUAGCGGUGAAAUGCGUAGAGAUCUGGAGGAAUACCGAUGGCGAAGGCAGCCAUCUGGCCUAACACUGACGCUGAGGUGCGAAAGCAUGGGGAGCAAACAGG